UACGUAGGGUGCAAGCGUUGUCCGGAAUUAUUGGGCGUAAAGAGCUCGUAGGCGGUCUGUUACGUCCGCUGUGAAAACCCAGGGCUUAACCCUGGGCUUGCAGUGGAUACGGGUAGACUAGAGGCAGGUAGGGGGAGAAUGGAAUUCCCGGUGUAGCGGUGAAAUGCGCAGAUAUCGGGAGGAACACCGGUGGUGAAGGCGGUUCUCUGGGCCUGACCUGACGCUGAGGAGCGAAAGCCAGGGGAGCAAACGGG
rnacentral:rRNA from 1 species